UACGUAGGGUCCGAGCGUUGUCCGGAAUUAUUGGGCGUAAAGGGCUCGUAGGCGGUUUGUUGCGUCGGGGAGUGAAAACUUACAGCUUAACUGUGAGCGUGCUUCCGAUACGGGCAGACUGGAGGUAUGCAGGGGAGAACGGAAUUCCUGGUGUAGCGGUGAAAUGCGCAGAUAUCAGGAGGAACACCGGUGGCGAAGGCGGUUCUCUGGGCAUGUCCUGACGCUGAGGAGCGAAAGUGUGGGGAGGCGAACAGG
rnacentral:rRNA from 1 species